CUGCCCUCACUUCCAAUUUGCCCGCCCUCACCCGCCAUUCUCUUCUCUCUCUCUGCUGAUUCCUCAGAUCCUCCCUGCACUCGCUGUUCUCCCUGCCUCUCCCUCUUUCGUCUCUCGAUCAGAUCUGCACUCGCUGUACCCCUCGCUAGAUAUAGAACCUACCCCUCGCACCGCAGCUUCGAUGAUGGUGGAGAGGACGCGCCGCCGCGGAGGAGGAGGAGGAGCAGCAGCAGCAGCAGCUGGGCCCCGCGUCCCUUCGGGUUCCCUCGGCCCCCCGUGUUUCCCUCGCCCCCGUCCCUCCCUCGUCCGAAUUGGGGGGCGGCGCCGCCGCCGAACUGGCCUCGAGGUACUUCCCCUUUGGGUGUUCCGGUUGGUGUUCGCUGGAUGGGGUCGUCGCGUUCCGUGAUUCUUGCACCCGAUUGCCGGCUCGUUCGUUUGAUUGCGUGCUCCUCCCGUUCUCUCGGGUGCCUGAUUGCUCGAUUCUAGCUGCGUUCCUGCUCGUUCUCGACUGUUUCGGGUGUAGUUUGGGGUAAAGGGGGUUCUGGUGUUGUAAUUCGUGAUUUUAGUGCUAGUGUUGCGUGCUGAAUUUCAAGCGAUGUUUCUGGGUGCGACAGUGGUGUUGCUUGGCUUUUGAUUUUCGUAUCCAGCGGGGUUCUGUUAGCUGAAUUACUGGGCUGAGUGUUCAAAUUCGGAGCUUUUGCAAUGCUCUCGGGGAAGUAAACUUUUUGGUGCAUAAACUUCUUGACCAAGCUUUUCUUGAAGUUGUGGAGUGUGCUCUGUCAACGAGGUUGGCAUCUUAUUUUUCCUAAAUGAUGGUAGAUAAGCUCUGACAUCUGUUUUAAUAUGGGUGAUGGUAUGGCAGUAAAACACUUAUCAGCAUGGCAAGCCAACUUUGAUUGAUGGGGAUGUAUUAACUUGGUAUCCUAACCCAGGAAGAAUCUCCUAGGAUAUUGACUCAUGGCUAGGAAGGGCAAUCAGCAGAAGAAUGGGGUUAGUAGUUCCUCACAGAAUGGCAAAAAGAAGGGUUCAGAAACACAUCAAGAAAGAAGACAAGCUACUGACGUGAAGAUUCCUCCUAAAGAGACAACUGUGAACAGUCAUCACUCGAGCAACGUGUCGGCUGAGAGCAUGAGUCAAGGAACUGGGAAACUAAUGAGUAUGGAUAAACAAGGGACAGAUGCAGCUCAGGGAUUAGAGCACCCAGUUCUGUCUGGGGAAUCUUCAGGGGAUUAUAUUCAAAAUGCAUCUCCUAUGGGCAUGUCCCACGAGAGAGAACAAGGUGGACUACAUUGUGAUAAUAAUUGUCAAAAUAGCCGAAAAGGUGGCCUGGGCUGCAAGCUGAAUGGGCAUAUAACGAAUCUAAUAGAAAAUGUCCACAUAUUUGACAAUUUAGUUGUUAGAAAUGUGAGAAGAUCAGUUUUGUGUGUCCUAAAGGCAGCUGGAGAGUGGCUAGAGUCACAAAGACCUUUUGUCAUUAAUUUAAAAGGUGACAUACUAAAGGCUCGUGACUAUGUCAAAGUGAAGAUUGAGCUGGCCUACUAGGUUGUUUUGAAAUGGCUUGUAUACUUUGGGAACACAAUGUUUCUCUUAUCAAUGAUUUGGUUGGAUUGCACUCUUAGGGGAAUCGAUUCUUUCCUACAUAUGGGGACUACAUCUUUCUUUUCUAUCAUAUGGUGUGGAAUUUUCUCAGCUAUCGCUAUGGUCGGCAUGGUAAAGUUUCUUGUGGUCUCGGUAAGUCACUCAUCACUUUUUUCCUUUUAGGUCGAAAAGUCACUCGUCACUUCACAAGCUACUUUUAUUGACUUCCUAUUGUAUUGCUGGUUCAAGUUAUCCUUUCCCAUCCUGACAUGACCUGUUACCCUGGAUCCAUUCAUGUUUGUAUGUCAAUAUUUCAUCCUGAACUGAGCUUAUAAAUAUGUGCAACUCCUCCUUCCUGUCAAAGUAGAAGAAAUCAAAAUAAGCAUAGAGUAUUACCUGUUGUCACUUCCAAACUCCUUGGAGCCACACGGUAUUCUUGCUGGAUUUUAUCUAGUAAGAUACACAUCCUCUUUUGUCUAUGUUCCUAGAAUUCAUUCCUCAGUUGCUCUUUCUGAAAUGUUCAGAAUAACUCUAUUAAGCACACUUUGCUUCUGCUGCAUUCCUUUUUACUGACUGAAGUUUGCAUUCAUUCAGGUGCAAUGAUGUUCUUGUGGGUAUUUUUGUGGGGUUUGCCGCUGCACUUUUGCUGCUUGCACUUUGUGGCACUGUCUUCUUGUGGUUUUAUGGAAGUUUUUGAACAACAGCUCUUGUAAUCAUCCUUGCAGGUAUAUCAUUCACAUUGAGCCAUGAACGCCUUGCACUUUUCAUAUCCUCACAAUCUAUGCCAAGAACAGCUUUGAGCAAUUCUGCAUAAGUUAUGCAAAUGAGAGGUUGCAGCAACAUUUCAACCGGCAUUUGUUAAAACUGGAGCAGGAAGUGAGCAUCUCACAUGGACCGUGUCUUUAGUUUUGUUCAGUAUUUAUAUGAUGGGUGUUGUCGCUAAAAGCAGGAUAUUCUUUUUUGAUUUAUUUCUGUCGUCAUUAUUUAUUGUGCAAAGAUUAGUUAUUGUGCAAGAUUAUAUAUUCUCUCAUUAUGUGUACUAUAAAGAAAAAUAUUUAUGUCA